CUUAGCUUAGCGGCGGACGGGUGAGUAAUGCUUAGGAAUCUGCCUAUUAGUGGGGGACAACAUUCCGAAAGGAAUGCUAAUACCGCAUACGCCCUACGGGGGAAAGCAGGGGAUCUUCGGACCUUGCGCUAAUAGAUGAGCCUAAGUCAGAUUAGCUAGUUGGUGGGGUAAAGGCCUACCAAGGCGACGAUCUGUAGCGGGUCUGAGAGGAUGAUCCGCCACACUGGGACUGAGACACGGCCCAGACUCCUACGGGAGGCAGCAGUGGGGAAUAUUGGACAAUGGGCGAAAGCCUGAUCCAGCCAUGCCGCGUGUGUGAAGAAGGCCUUUUGGUUGUAAAGCACUUUAAGCGAGGAGGAGGCUACCGAGAUUAAUACUCUUGGAUAGUGGACGUUACUCGCAGAAUAAGCACCGGCUAACUCUGUGCCAGCAGCCGCGGUAAUACAGAGGGUGCGAGCGUUAAUCGGAUUUACUGGGCGUAAAGCGUGCGUAGGCGGCUUUUUAAGUCGGAUGUGAAAUCCCUGAGCUUAACUUAGGAAUUGCAUUCGAUACUGGGAAGCUAGAGUAUGGGAGAGGAUGGUAGAAUUCCAGGUGUAGCGGUGAAAUGCGUAGAGAUCUGGAGGAAUACCGAUGGCGAAGGCAGCCAUCUGGCCUAAUACUGACGCUGAGGUACGAAAGCAUGGGGAGCAAACAGGAUUAGAUACCCUGGUAGUCCAUGCCGUAAACGAUGUCUACUAGCCGUUGGGGCCUUUGAGGCUUUAGUGGCGCAGCUAACGCGAUAAGUAGACCGCCUGGGGAGUACGGUCGCAAGACUAAAACUCAAUGAAUUUGACAGGGGGCCCGCACAAGCGGUGGAGCAUGUGGUUUUAAUUUCGAUGCA
rnacentral:rRNA from 1 species